ensembl:lincRNA
AAUAAUAGGAUCACUAUGAAAACUAAAUUACAUAACAGCGAAGUGUGCCAGGAGGCUGGAGGGUUCAGCCCCCUCCAGAUAUUCAGUGAGCACCUGCUGGGUACCAGGCACUGGCCUCCUCUCGGGCCAGGACCAUAAGCUCCCGAGUGAGCUUUGCUGCUCGUUUAUUCCUGCUAGACUUUGGCACCCUGUUUGGCCACAGCCAAUGCUUAGUAACCAAGUCACUGCAUUCACCCAUGAAGCCGCCUUCCUAAUGAUCCAACAACCCACCAACCCACAGUGCAGCCCGGUGCUGCCACUGGGAAGAGCUGCCCUUCCCCGCGGGCUCUCCUCUUCCUGGACAGAGACACAGGAGGCCACCACCAGGAAUCAGCCUGCUUUCCAGAGACGGCAAAGAGAAUGGGGGCUGCCCAAAGCACCCCAUCCACGACCUUGACUCCAGGAAGGUCCAGGGAAUGAGACCCCACGCCUGGCUGGUUGGGGGAGGACGGGGCACCAGCACCCUGGGUGCCCGCAGGGCAGGACGGAACACAGACCUGCGGCCCUCCAUGCCACCUCCCCAGGAGACACCACGGUGGAUGCCAGGGCUGAAGGGCGCCUGCGGAACACAGGCACCAUCUAGAUCACGGGGGACGCUGACCCACAGAGAUGCCCGCCACCAGACAGGUGCUGGAGAAGCAGGGAGACCCCCUCCAUGCCAGGCAGGAGGCAGAGCUCUGCUGAGUUAUGUGGAGGCAGCCAAGAGAAGACGGGUAAACACAAACCUAUAAACGGUCAUGAGGCUGAGAGGCGCUCUUGGAACCAGCCUGCAGGACACCUGCCCUGGCGCAUUUCUGAGAGCAGCAUGUGCCAACCGGCCAGGCGCAGCCCGCAGUCCUGCAGAUGUGACUGCACUUGUCUCCGUUCAAGGUCAGGUGCUCAGGGUCCUUCCCAGCCUGUCUCUGCACCUCUGGUCGUCGCACUGGGUGUGAUUUUGUCUUUUCAGGGCUGCGUUGCCAUUACAAGGAAGGCCGCUCCCAGCAGAGAACCAGUCCCCUACCGGACACGGGGGAGCGGCUUCAAGUUGAAAAGGCUCCUGUUUUCUUCGGCGCAGCGUCACCAGCACCCUGAGACUGCCGCUGGGGCAGGCUGCACACCCACCUGUCCCCGAGGGUGCCACAGCUCCCCACAGAGGGACUCAACAACCAAACACUCUGCUCAGCUCCAACCGUGGAAAGGGGACGCGGCCGUGCCCCAGAGCUCAGCACUCCUGAGGACACCAGCAAGCCAGGGAACGAGUCCACACAGACACCUCUCCCCAGGGCCCGCCGCAGGGCACACGGCCGCUCCCUGUCACCAGAGACAGGCGCACACCGUCCCUGGGUCCUCCCGAAGCUGAGAGAGGAUCGCCUUCUGUUGAGUAGACCACACCAUCCCAAGGAGCACUCUGUGUUGAAGAAACCAAGGGGGCUUGCCGGGGGUCAUCUAAGUCCCCAGCGCCACAGUGGCACAGAGCUCUCAGACAGUGUAAUCCAGCACCCCAGCUCUUAGGGCCUGGCCGGAGGCUACAGCAUGAGGCCCCACCCAGGCUGAGGAGAGUCCCUCCACCCACACCUGCCCAGACCCCCGAGACAGAGAGGAAACAAUCCCAACAACAAAUGAAAUGAGUUGGGGGCCAGGGGCCAUGAUCCAAGCAGCUAGCAGCUGGCCCCAGGCAUCCGGCAAGUGGACUGCUCAUUAGAAAUGAGGGGAGUCUCCAGGUUCAGUGGCACCCGCUUUUAAUCCCAGCAACUCGGGAGGCUGAGGCAGGAGGAUUGCAAGUUGCCAGCCUCAGCAAUAUAUUGAGGCCCUAAGCAACUCAGCAAGAUCCUAUUUCAAAGUAAAAAAAAUAAAGAGGGCUGCAGAUGUGGCUCAGUGGUUAGGUGCCCCUAGGUUCAAUCCCUGGUACUAAAAAAAAAAAAAAAUGAGGGGACUUGUCCCUUGUUCCAGGAGCUCCUGGGACCCACAUCCCAAGACAGUCCCUCUGAAAGGCUCAACUUCCAAUGUGCUGGCCCUGCACCCUGGGAAUCCGGGAUGAGCAAACACCGAUGACCACGCUUUCUGAAGCCAGGCUAAGAGACUGAUAGGAAUUAGGCCGCGGGCACUUGGCUAGCGCACACUGCUACCUUUAGCUCUCGGAGACAGCACCACGCUCCUGACACCCAACGGCUGAGGCCCAUAAACGGCUGCUCUCUGCAGCUGGUAGGUUAGUGGGCUUCUGACAGUGUCCUCCCUGUCCCCAGUCCUGGGCGGCUCAGGGGGGCAGGUCCACCUCCAGCCCGGCCAGAGCCCUGUGAGGAUGGAGGAGGAGGCCAUUGGGGACAGUGAGUGGCCAAAGUCCCUUUCUCCACGUUUCUGCCUGGCUCUUCCUGGGGGCCCACUCUCCAGGACCAUCCAGAAUGCUGUCCCUUUAAAACUGAAAUGCGUGUUUCCCCUCCGUAAGAAAAGUAAAUCACGCUACAGUGAGUUGAGCUUUGAAAAAAGCAUCCAUCCAUUAAAGUUCAUGGAUCCGCGUUUUCAGGUUGUCCCUCCCCUGGCUGUGUCUCAAGUUACAGCCUUGUACAACCCAAGUCUAAAUAAUAUUCACCAUGAUAAAUGACACCAUAACUCCGAUAUCCACAAUCAAUCUUUGCUUUAAAGAUACAUCCAUCUUCAAUAAUGUUGAUGGGGAUUCUGUGAAAUGGGGAACGUGACUGUCUUCCAGAACUCCUAACUGGGGGGGAAGGAGGCCCUGAGUGAUGGCUGUCAGCCCACAUCUGGCUGCAAAAAUAAAUUAGCCUCAUGUAGACAAAUGAAAGGGCCCGCUCUGCCGAGGAAACAGCCACUCCUGCGCAGGGGCUAAUUUAUAGGACUUCUUUCUGGAAAGUUCCUGGCUAGGCAACAGUCUCCUCCUCGGCUAUCUCUUUAAAGGAUAUCUGAUGUUGUAAAUAACUUCUGUGGGGUGGGGUCGGCCAGCAGGACAAAGGCACAGGAACAGGGGAACAAUAACUUUUCUCACGUUCUCGCACACACGAUUAAAAUGCAAAACUCGACUCUUCCAAGGAGGCGAAAACAUUUAUUUAGCCAAAUGUUUUCUAUUUUAGCAGUGCAGUCUCCUUGGCUGGUUUUCUGUCUGUUCGCCUCCUUCACUCUUUGGUGGUUUUCUGGUGGUUUCAGAACUCACUCAGAAAGUAAAGCACCUGGGGUCAGGCGGCCAGCUCGGCUGGCCCUCCUGCAGCUCUCCUGCAGCUCUCCUGCUCAGCCAGCUUCACCUGGAACCAGGCGGGCAUGGGGUCACGGAUUCCAAGCAACUGAAGAAGAAACAUGUCUGUGGCUUUAGUAGGUGGUUUCAAAAAUGGCCCAGAGAACUGCAGACUCUGA